UUUAGAGUUUUCAAUGGAUGAGUACUGCAAGCUAUUGAUAGUAUUCAUCAAGUUGGAAUUUGCUGUCUUGCUUUAGUUUUGCCCAAUUGUUUGCCAAAUGAAGCUGUCACUGUUGUUGUUAUAAAGUCAUGGCCUUACUGAUUACAUUCCAAAAAAGAAAUUAACUGGCAUAAGCAGAGCCCCAACUCCUGAAAUGAUAGCUUAUUUGGAUUUAAAUGUUAGCACAACUGGAAUGCUUAUCUGAUAUUAAGUGUUUAUUCAGGUCCCCAUACCAUUUUAAUCCCACCAUCUGAAGUUGAAAUUAAUCCUACAAUUUGGUUGUCAACAAUUAGGCAAUACAAAGGUUAUAAUUCAUUCUAAAUAAUAAUAAAAAUAAGUAA